rnacentral:rRNA from 1 species
GUUCCUACGGGGGGCAGCAGUGGGGAAUAUUGCACAAUGGGGGGAACCCUGAUGCAGCAAUGCCGCGUGGGUGAAGAAGCACUCCGGUGCGUAAAGCCCUGUCAGCAGGGAAGAAAAUGACAGUACCUGGACAAGAAGCCCCGGCUAACUACGUGCCAGCAGCCGCGGUAAUACGUAGGGGGCAAGCGUUAUCCGGAUUUAUUGGGUUUAAAGGGUGCGCAGGCGGAGGUGCAAGUCAGCGGUCAAAUUGCGGGGCUCAACCCCGUACUGCCGUUGAAACUGCAUCCCUUGAGUGCGCGAGAAGU